AUCCUUUUGUCGCUUAUCAGCAUGAUGGUUGGGUUGAUGCAUGUUUAUGUGGCAACUACCUCCCUUUAAGCCUCGUACGAUGUCAAUCCAUGAUCCAUCUGAUA